rnacentral:rRNA from 1 species
AGUGAACGCUGGCGGUAGGCCUAACACAUGCAAGUCGAACGGCAGCACAGUAAGAGCUUGCUCUUACGGGUGGCGAGUGGCGGACGGGUGAGGAAUACAUCGGAAUCUACUUUUUCGUGGGGGAUAACGUAGGGAAACUUACGCUAAUACCGCAUACGACCUACGGGUGAAAGCAGGGGAUCUUCGGACCUUGCGCGAUUGAAUGAGCCGAUGUCGGAUUAGCUAGUUGGCGGGGUAAAGGCCCACCAAGGCGACGAUCCGUAGCUGGUCUGAGAGGAUGGUCAGCCACACUGGAACUGAGACACGGUCCAGACUCCUACGGGAGGCAGCAGUGGGGAAUAUUGGACAAUGGGCGGAAGCCUGAUCCAGCCAUACCGCGUGGGUGAAGAAGGCCUUCGGGUUGUAAAGCCCUUUUGUUGGGAAAGAAAAGCAGCAGGUUAAUACCCCGCUGUUCUGACGGUACCCAAAGAAUAAGCACCGGCUAACUUCGUG